rnacentral:piRNA from 1 species
UGCCAGGGAAACAGUCUCAAUUUUACACUU